UACGAAGGGGGCUAGCGUUGUUCGGCUUUACUGGGCGUAAAGCGCGUGUAGGCGGGUCGUUAAGUUGGGGGUGAAAUCCCGGAGCUCCACUCCGGAACUGCCUUCAAAACUGGCGACCUGGACUCAAGCAGAGGCAAGUGGAAUUGCGAGUGUAGAGGUGAAAUUCGUAGAUAUUCGCAGGAACACCAGUGGCGAAGGCGACUUGCUGGGCUUGUAGUGACGCUGAGACGCGGAAGCGUGGGGAGCAAACAGG
rnacentral:rRNA from 1 species